CGUUGGCUCAGUGGUAGAGCAUCUGCCUUGUAAGCAGUAGGUCGUCGGUUCGAGUCCGGCA
rnacentral:tRNA from 1 species